rnacentral:rRNA from 1 species
UACGAAGGGUGCAAGCGUUACUCGGAAUUACUGGGCGUAAAGCGUGCGUAGGCGGUUGUUAAGUCUGUCGUGAAAGCCCUGGGCUCACCUGGGAAUUGCGAUGGAUACUGGCAGCUAGAGUACGGUAGAGGAUGGUGGAAUUCCCGGUGUAGCGGUGAAAUGCGUAGAGAUCGGGAGGAACACCCGUGGCGAAGGCGGCCAUCUGGACCAGUACUGACGCUGAGGCACGAAGCGUGGGGAGCAAACAGG